rnacentral:rRNA from 1 species
AUAGUCAGAUGUGAAAUCUAUAGACUUANNNUNUAAACUGCGUUUGAAACUUCUAUUCUAGAGUUUAAAAAAGGUAAAUGGAAUUCUUGGUGUAGUGGUAAAAUACAUAGAUAUCAAGAGGAACACCGAUGGCGAAAGCAAUUUACUGUUUUAAAACUGACACUGAGGCACUAAAGCGUGGGUAGUAAACAGGAUUAGAUACCCUGGUAAUCCACGCCCUAAACUUUGUCUACUAAUUGUUGAAAGUUCUACUUUCAGUAAUGUACUUAACAGAUUAAGUAGACCGCCUGGGAACUACGAUCGCAAGAUUGAAACUCAAAGGAAUUGACGGGGGUCCGCACAAGCAGUGGAGCAUGUGGUUUAAUUCGAUGAUACGCGAAAAACCUUACCUGGACUUGACAUAUGCAGGAAUUAUGUAGAAAUAUAUAAGUCUUCGGACCUGUUUACAGGUGCUGCAUGGUUGUCGUCAGCUCGUGUCGUGAGAUGUUGGGUUUAGUCCCGCAACGAGCGCAACCCCUAUUUCAUGUUGCUAAUAUUAAGUUAAGCACUCGUGAGAAACUGAAAGUGAUGAACUGUAGGAAGGUGGGGAUGACGUCAAAUCCUCAUGGCCUUUAUGUCCAGGGCUACACACGUGCUACAAUGGCUAAUACAACGGGGAGCAAUAUCGCAAGGUGGAGCCAAUCC